GAUGAACGCUAGCGGCAGGCCUAACACAUGCAAGUCGAGGGGGAAGUUACUUUCGGGUGACUGAGACCGGCGUACGGGUGCGUAACGCGUAUACAAUCUGCCUUUCACUGGGGGAUAGCCCGAAGAAAUUUGGAUUAAUACCCCAUAGUAUAUAGGGACGGCAUCGUUUUUAUAUUAAAGCUUAGGUGGUGAAAGAUGAGUAUGCGUUCUAUUAGCUAGUUGGAGAGGUAACGGCUCCCCAAGGCGAUGAUAGAUAGGGGUUCUGAGAGGGAUGUCCCCCACACUGGUACUGAGAUACGGACCAGACUCCUACGGGAGGCAGCAGUGAGGAAUAUUGGACAAUGGUCGGAAGACUGACGGAGCAACGCCGCGUGAGUGAUGAAGGUCUUCGGAUCGUAAAACUCUGUUAUUAGGGAAGAACAUAUGUGUAAGUAACUGUGCACAUCUUGACGGUACCUAAUCAGAAAGCCACGGCUAACUACGUG
rnacentral:rRNA from 1 species